rnacentral:rRNA from 1 species
ACAGCAGCCGCCGCGGGAAUACGUAGGUGGCAAGCGUUGUCCGGAAUUAUUGGGCGUAAAGGGCUCGCAGGCGGUUUCUUAAGUCUGAUGUGAAAGCCCCCGGCUCAACCGGGGAGGGCCAUUGGAAACUGGGAAACUUGAGUGCAGAAGAGGAGAGUGGAAUUCCACGUGUAGCGGUGAAAUGCGUAGAGAUGUGGAGGAACACCAGUGGCGAAGGCGACUCUCUGGUCUGUAACUGACGCUGAGGAGCGAAAGCGUGGGGAGCGAACAGGAUUAGAUACCCCCGUAGUCCCUGUCUCUUAUAC